UACGUAGGGUGCGAGCGUUGUCCGGAAUUAUUGGGCGUAAAGGGCUCGUAGGCGGUCUGUUGCGUCAGGAGUGAAAACUCGGGGCUUAACCCCGAGCCUGCCUCUGAUACGGGCAGACUAGAGGUAUGCAGGGGAGAACGGAAUUCCUGGUGUAGCGGUGAAAUGCGUAGAUAUCAGGAGGAACACCGGUGGUGUAAGAGGCCUUCUGGACCGGAACUACGCUGAGGACGAAAGCGUGGGGAGCAAACAGG
rnacentral:rRNA from 1 species